rnacentral:rRNA from 1 species
AGGAAUCUGCCUGGUAGUGGGGGAUAACGUCCGGAAACGGACGCUAAUACCGCAUACGUCCUACGGGAGAAAGCAGGGGACCUUCGGGCCUUGCGCUAUCAGAUGAGCCUAGGUCGGAUUAGCUAGUUGGUGGGGUAAUGGCUCACCAAGGCGACGAUCCGUAACUGGUCUGAGAGGAUGAUCAGUCACACUGGAACUGAGACACGGUCCAGACUCCUACGGGAGGCAGCAGUGGGGAAUAUUGGACAAUGGGCGAAAGCCUGAUCCAGCCAUGCCGCGUGUGUGAAGAAGGUCUUCGGAUUGUAAAGCACUUUAAGUUGGGAGGAAGGGCAGUAAAUUAAUACUUUGCUGUUUUGACGUUACCGACAGAAUAAGCACCGGCUAACUCUGUGCCAGCAGCCGCGGUAAUACAGAGGGUGCAAGCGUUAAUCGGAAUUACUGGGCGUAAAGCGCGCGUAGGUGGUUCGUUAAGUUGGAUGUGAAAUCCCCGGGCUCAACCUGGGAACUGCAUUCAAAACUGACGAGCUAGAGUAUGGUAGAGGGUGGUGGAAUUUCCUGUGUAGCGGUGAAAUGCGUAGAUAUAGGAAGGAACACCAGUGGCGAA